GAGUGGGGGAUAACGUAGCGAAAGUUGCGCUAAUACCGCACAUUCUGUGAGCAGGAAAGCAGGGGACCGCAAGGCCUUGCGCUCUUUGAGCGGCCGAUGUCAGAUUAGCUAGUUGGUGAGGUAAAGGCUUACCAAGGCGACGAUCUGUAGCGGGUCUGAGAGAUGAUCCGCCACACUGGAACUGAGACACGGUCCAGACUCCUACGGGAGGCAGCAGUGGGGAAUUUUGGACAAUGGGGGCAACCCUGAUCCAGCCAUGCCGCGUGAGUGAAGAAGGCCUUCGGGUUGUAAAGCUCUUUCGGCCGGGAAGAAAUCGCAUGGGCCAAUACCCUGUGUGGAUGACGGUACCGGAAUAAGAAGCACCGGCUAACUACGUGCCAGCAGCCGCGGUAAUACGUAGGGUGCGAGCGUUAAUCGGAAUUACUGGGCGUAAAGCGUGCGCAGGCGGUUUUGUAAGACAGGCGUGAAAUCCCCGGGCUUAACCUGGGAACUGCGUUUGUGACUGCAAGGCUAGAGUACGGCAGAGGGGGGUGGAAUUCCACGUGUAGCAGUGAAAUGCGUAGAGAUGUGGAGGAACACCAAUGGCGAAGGCAGCCCCCUGGGUCGAUACUGACGCUCAUGCACGAAAGCGUGGGUAGCAAACAGGAUUAGAUACCCUGGUAGUCCACGCCCUAAACUAUGUCAACUAGGUGUUGGGUGGGUAAAACCAUUUAGUACCGUAGCUAACGCGUGAAGUUGACCGCCUGGGGAGUACGGCCGCAAGGUUAAAACUCAAAGGAAUUGACGGGGACCCGCACAAGCGGUGGAUGAUGUGGAUUAAUUCGAUGCAACGCGAAAAACCUUACCUACCCUUGACAUUCCAGGAACUUGCCAGAGAUGGCUUGGUGCCCGAAAGGGAGCCUGGACACAGGUGCUGCAUGGCUGUCGUCAGCUCGUGUCGUGAGAUGUUGGGUUAAGUCCCGCAACGAGCGCAACCCUUGUCGUUAAUUGCCAUCAUUUAGUUGGGCACUUUAACGAGACUGCCGGUGACAAACCGGAGGAAGGUGGGGAUGACGUCAAGUCCUCAUGGCCCUUAUGGGUAGGGCUUCACACGUCAUACAAUGGUCGGUACAAAGGGUUGCCAAGCCGCGAGGCGGAGCCAAUCCCAGAAAGCCGAUCGUAGUCCGGAUUGCAGGCUGCAACUCGCCUGCAUGAAGUCGGAAUCGCUAGUAAUCGUGGAUCAGCAUGUCACGGUGAAUACGUUCCCGGGUCUUGUACACACCGCCCGUCACACCAUGGGAGCGGGUUCCGCCAGAAGUAGGUAGCCUAACCGCAAGGGGGGCGCUUACCACGGCGGGGUUCGUGACUGGGGUGAAGUCGUAACAAGGUA
rnacentral:rRNA from 1 species